AGUGAACGCUGGCGGCAGGCCUAACACAUGCAAGUCGAACGGCAGCAUAGCAGUAGCAAUACUGUGGGUGGCGAGUGGCGGACGGGUGAGGAAUACAUCGGAAUCUGCCUUAUCGUGGGGGAUAACGUAGGGAAACUUACGCUAAUACCGCAUACGACCUACGGGUGAAAGCGGAGGACCGAAAGGCUUCGCGCGAUAAGAUGAGCCGAUGUCGGAUUAGCUAGUUGGCGGGGUAAAGGCCCACCAAGGCGACGAUCCGUAGCUGGUCUGAGAGGAUGAUCAGCCACACUGGAACUGAGACACGGUCCAGACUCCUACGGGAGGCAGCAGUGGGGAAUAUUGGCAAUGGGCGCAAGCCUGAWCCAGCCAUGCCGCGUGUGUGAAGAAGGCCUUCGGGUUGUAAAGCACUUUUGUCCGGAAAGAAAAGCAUCGGGUUAAUACCCUGGUGUUCUGACGGUACCNGAAGAAUAAGCACCGGCUAACUUCGUGCCAGCAGCCGCGGUAAUACGAAGGGUGCAAGCGUUACUCGGAAUUACUGGGCGUAAAGCGUGCGUAGGUGGUUCGUUAAGUCUGAUGUGAAAGCCNUGGGCUCAACCUGGGAAUUGCAUUGGAUACUGGCGAGCUAGAGUGCGGUAGAGGAUNGCGGAAUUCCCGGUGUAGCAGUGNAAUGCGUAGAGAUCGGGAGGNACAUCUGURGGCGAGGCGNCCAUCUGGAACCAGCACC
rnacentral:rRNA from 1 species